UUUAUUCAGUUAUAGAGCUCCGCAGUGCUCACAUCUUAAAACAGUUAAAUUUCACGUGUAUCAAAAUUUAAAAUUCGAAAAGAAUGUAGACCGGAAUAGUCGGAUGUUUCGCUAAAUUUUGUCUGUUAAGAUGUCUCGGUAAAAGUUUUAAGAUGUUUCAAUUAUUUUUUUUUUGUUUUGUUUUUGGCUAGCAGCAACAACAGGAACAUCAGAAACAGCUAAACAAGUUACACGUGAUAUAAUCUACACUAAGAAUGUUUUUGUUUUCCUUUUGCUGGCCUUGCAAGUUUCAAGAUGAGUUAACAUUUCUUCGCGAGAAUCAAAUUCAGAAUUUUUCCUCAUCAAAGCCAAGUUUUUUACGUGAACAUCUAGCUGGAAUGGAUUAACGUUUUUAAGUUAAAACGGUGAAAUUGGGUUUGGAGCAAGGUCCGAGGACACAAAAGAUCCUUGUGUUUGCUCUGAUAAUUCAAUUGCAAUUGCUUUAAAAAUGAUACACUCAAAUUUUAUUGCUCUAUAUAUUAUACACAAAUGGAAACCGGAAACUAAUUCGUAGAUUUUCGAUCAUCCAUAUAUUAUAUUUGUUCUGACAACACUUACAUCGUUUUUGAGGCAAGGAGGCUGCCAAUCAUCAAUUUAUUUGUUUUCAUUUCAUUUUCUACACCAAACACUGACUAAAAUAGAUCUAACCACACGCAAGAACCUGGCACUUGUGUGUGCUUUCAAGGGAGAUUCAACAAAUUCAACAAAUUAAGCAAACUCAACGAAUUCAACUUAAUCGAAUUGUUGCGAUUGAAUAUUAAAUUUAUUUAUAAGGCCGGGGAGCAAGGUCCGAGGAGAUCCCCUCCUUGUGUUUGCCCUCGUUUCAUGCAGAAGUGACAAUUAUAUGAAUACAUAGUUAUUAAUCUCAAAUAUAUAUAUAUAUAUAUAUUGUAUACAUAUAUAUCAUAUACAUAUAUAUAUAUAAAACAUAUUAUAUAUAUAUACAACUCGACAAACCUUAACAAAACAAGAACGACAGUCAAGAAUCACAAAAAAAAAACUAGGAAAAACAUGCAACCCCAACACACGGAUCGCAAGCCGUCAAUAAUCAAGUAGUGAGAUUCUUGAUAUUGGAGACUUGACAUUGAUGUAAUUUUUGUAAUUAG